AUUGCUUUUCAGCAUUAUUUACUGCAAAAUAAUGCCCAUGUUUAAACAGUAUAUUUUAUUCUUUUCCCCCAGACAGGAAAACUCCAGUUUCCUGCUUUAAUGUGCUAAGGAUUGCUUGUCUUUUCCUAAUUAAGGAGAGCCUGCUGAGAGAGUUUCCGACAAUCACAAUGGGGAACGAGAACAGCACCUCUGACAACCAGGGGGUGUCACCGAUUCCUGCAGCAGAAGCAGCACAGUCUCCUGGAAAUAAUUAUGAUAUAAAGCAGAAACAGGGGAAGACAACUGGAAACACUGGUAAAGGCAGUUACUCCCCUGGUGUCUGGCCAGCUACUGCUGUGCCCCAUGCUGAAACUACACCGGCGUUACUGAGCAGUGACACCAGGUAGGAAUACAUUUUUAAGAAAGCCAUAGUCAUGGUGUGGUCUGGCAUCUGACAGCCUGGAUGCUUGCUGCUUAGAUGAACCAAACCAACACCAGACAACCCAUAGAAAAGAGAUGAAAACCUCACUGCCCUUCACUUCUCUCUUUAGGAUCAACUGGUGCCAGGGUAUUAGAAAAUGCAAGGCAAAUAAGCACUUAAUAAGUGCAUACACUGUGCUGGGCCCUAGGGCUACAAAGAUAAAAGGAAAAGCAGUCCAGAGAGGCAGCUAGGUGGCAACCUGAGUUCAAAUCCAGCCUCAGACACUUGACACUAGCUGUGUGUGUGACCCUGGGCAAGUCACUACACCGAUUGUCCCAGAAAGAAAGAAAGAAAGAAAGAAAGAAAGAAAGAAAGAAAGAAAGAAAGAAAGAAAGAAAGAAAGAAAGAAAGAAAGAAAAAGAGUUGAGGCCCUCAGGGAGAAUAUAGUCUGCUAGAAGGGAGUGUCUUCUUCUAGCCAUCUAAUAAAUGUGCUAACUAUAGGCUCUUAUUCCCCGCA
rnacentral:lncRNA from 1 species